AUCACACCCGAAGCGAAUGGAGAUCGCAUAAUUGCACUCAAUCGGUACGGUGGAUGCUGAAGUUUCAAACUAUAUAGGACGAGCGAGGUAAAUUGUACUUUCACCGGUUGCAGAUGUUAUUUGUUACAUUUUUCAAUUUGUGUGUGCAAUUUUUGAAGAUAAUAGUAGGAAUAGUAAGUUUUCAAUGCAAGUUUUUAUCAAAACGAAACAGACGAUACGGAGAGGUAAAAUACGAGGAAUGGAGUAUGAAAUGGGGUAUGUGUAUCACUCUUAUUAUCCUUCAUCAAUCAAAUAUGAUAUCAUUGCUGAUUUCAGGAAUGAUUCUCUAGGUACGCGAUAAUUUAAAAUUACUCCAAAACAUUCUCUGCAACUCUAUAUGUAAAAAAUGAGAAAGAAUUAAUCUGAUUAGUGUAUGUGCAAUAAAUACACAACAACGGUAUCAAUCUUCAUAAGGAAUAAUCGCAGCAUACCUUGAAAUUAAUUCUACUAAACGAACCAGUUGAAAAGCGCAGUUCGAAAUGGGUAACUCGGUGUAAAAGAAAAUUACUCGCUCCUUUAGUAGCCAUCGUUCGGAAGGUAAUGGUCGAAGGGAACGGCAGAGGAACAUGGAACGAGAUCGUAUUCUACGGGGAAGGUGGAACCGAACGAAAACGUGGGACAGCGGCGUUCUCUCUCGAGACAAAAAGUACAAAAGUGUACGCGAGCUUAGUUUACCUAUGGCUCGGUGUGGCAAUAACGACGAUGGUCGCCAUAUGGGCGACAGCCCGAGGGCCCAGAGAACCCGUGCACCUUCCUCUCCUCCAUUUUCCGUCUCUCUUUCUCUUUCUCUUCUCUUCCGGCACCCUUAUGCGGGCCAGAUUUUAUGGCCUAGGUACACGCGUAUACGUGCAAAGGGCUGGGCUCGCGCAUGAUUCCCCUCCAGGAGAACGAUUCUGCAAAAACGUGGCGACGCGAGAUCGCACGCGUGUGACUCAUCGAUAAAUUCGAGUGUGUAUGUAUUUACGUCGCCGAGUACACCCAGUUCCCACGAGGACAUCUCCCACCUAUGAACCUAGACUGGUGCGUCCUCCUCCGCAUUAGCAUCGGAUUGACGUCUGGCUUUGCUAAUGAUCGACUCAGGAAUUCACACCGUUCCGCACGACGCGACGUCUAUGGCCGUUUUAGGACUAUUUCAUUGAUUCUUGCAGGUUAGGGGAUGUAAUUGUUUGAAAAUUUGUAUCUUAACAUCGACAGUGGUUACGUGUACGGUGGUCACUGUUGACCGGGGCUUCCAAAUUGCUUGAAGACAAUUACAAUGAGAAAAUUGAUAUCGAAUGAAAAUCUUUGGUAACAUAAAUAGAUAGUUGCUUCUUUUAGAAAAGAAAUAGGGUUAAUCUUCUGUGGACAAGAAUUUUGAAAAUGUAGAAACCUUUCCGACAGAAAUUUGAAUUGUUCAUUGAAUACUUAAAUAGUGGAAAAGUGGAAAACUAAUGGUGCUUAAAUUAAAAAACGUGAUGAUUUUAUUCCGUGAAAAGCCACAUACUAUUUCUAUUGGUUACCCAUUCAUCGAAUAAAAUUAGAGUACAUCAAAAAUAUCCAGGUCAUAUAUUGGAAGCUUCGACAUAGACACGCGGAGAACGUGUUUUGCUCCAGCUAAUUCUGUUUUAUCGGUGCUGCGACGCUUUAACGUUGAUGCUUCGAAAUUUAACGUAUCACCGAGAAACAAAUUUCCUCAUGUAUAUAAUAAAUGCACGCGAACGAGCGUCAGACCGUCUAGCUUGUGAUAUUCAAUUUGCAAGAGUACAAGGAUGUUGCGCCAUUUUGUCGGGAGAUUAUCACCACGUAUAGCGCGUCUCGAAUUUUCCUUCAUGCGCACUGAAUUCGAGAAGAUCCUAACAUUUUUGCAUUACAUUUUUGCAAAUAUGAAUGAUACGAUUGUUAUUUACACUAUGUUUUCGUCGAAAUAGUUUUACUGUGCGGCUACACUCUUUCAUGCAAUGUAAACCAUAUAAAAAUGCAUGUUAAAAUUCGGGUGAAUGGGUUGAAUCAAGCCUAAUCGCGCGACAGAAGAAAAAUAAUUUGUGUUACAAAAUCACGUAAAAGAAAUCUUUUGAAAAACAGAAUUUGGUGUAGAUACAUAUGGACUUACAUGUACUUAACAUAUUUUGCCCAUAAUGUAUACAAAAUGAAUGCCAGUGGAACAGGUUAAUUAAUUGUUUGUAUGUUAUUGAGAAUUCGAAUGUGCGAUGAAUAAAUGAACACCCGAUGUCUACUAACUAACUACGAUAAUAAUUUUCAGCACAGCAUGUUCGUAGCUACUUUCAUCUCACAGUAACACCAUAAUUUUAUGAACGGAAAUCAACGUUAUCUCUCUGAGAACUAGGAAAUAACUUAAAAAAGAACAGUUGAAUUAUAAAAGUUAGGUAUCGAAAAUAUUACUAAGAAGUGUGUACAUAGGCGUCAACA